CAGUCGCCGCGGUAAUACGUAGGGUGCAAGCGUUAAUCGGAAUUACUGGGCGUAAAGCGCACGCAGGCGGUCUGUCAAGUCAGAUGUGAAAUCCCCGGGCUUAACCUGGGAACUGCAUUUGAAACUGGCAGGCUAGAGUCUUGUAGAGGGGGGUAGAAUUCCAGGUGUAGCGGUGAAAUGCGUAGAGAUCUGGAGGAAUACCGGUGGCGAAGGCGGCCCCCUGGACAAAGACUGACGCUCAGGUGCGAAAGCGUGGGGAGCAAACAGGAUUAGAUACCCGAGUAGUCCCUGUCUCUUAUAC
rnacentral:rRNA from 1 species